UACGGGGGGAGCAAGCGUUGUUCGGAUUUACUGGGCGUAAAGGGCGCGUAGGCGGCGUGACAAGUCACUUGUGAAAUCUCCGGGCUUAACUCGGAACGGUCAAGUGAUACUGUCGGACUAGAGUACAGAAGGGGCAACUGGAAUUCUCGGUGUAGCGGUGAAAUGCGUUGAGAUCCACAGGAACUCCGGUGGCGAAGGCGGCUCGCUGGACCCGAUCUGACGCUGAGGCGCGAAAGCCAGGGGAGCGAACGGG
rnacentral:rRNA from 1 species